ACUGCUGCACGUGACCGAUGAGGACUGGCGGAUACUCUGUAAUAGGUUUUCGUCUGAUUCUUUUCAGAAGAGGAGUAAAAUAAAUUCUGACAAUAGAGGAAAGUUAGAAGUGAACCACGUAGCUGGUUCAAAGUCAUUUGUACGACUUCGUCACGACAUGCGAGAUUCCGUCACUGGCCAGGAGCCCGGACCAGUAGACUUCUAGAAAGGGACUCACUGUCGGCAGUCGACAGGAUCUUGGGUACAUCCUAGAGCCAGCAAGAUUUGG